rnacentral:RNase_P_RNA from 1 species
GCAGUAUCAAUCUAGCAGUAGGGGCUUACAGGCAGGGUACAAUUUUGUUACCAUCUUACAUAGCCUCGGGAAGGUCUGAGGUAAGAUCACUAAACGUUCUAGCAGGGCGGCAUUAUAGUAAUGUGCGUGGUAACCAGAAAGAGCUGGAGUUUGGCCAAUGUCGGGGAUACUGUGGGAUUUCUAAAAACCAAAGCGGAGACGGUUUUACUCCAGAUGGAAAACCACGUGAUCAGCUGUUUGAGUAUAAUCUGCAAGCUGCGUUUUACUUUUAGAGCGUAGAACUCAAUUCAGACUAGUCUGAUACUGC